rnacentral:rRNA from 1 species
UGAGGAAUAUUGGUCAAUGGGCGCGAGCCUGAACCAGCCAAGUAGCGUGAAGGAUGAAGGUCCUAUGGAUUGUAAACUUCUUUUAUAGCAGAAUAAAGUGACCCACGUGUGGGUUUUUGUAUGUAUGCUAUGAAUAAGGAUCGGCUAACUCCGUGCCAGCAGCCGCGGUAAUACGGAGGAUCCGAGCGUUAUCCGGAUUUAUUGGGUUUAAAGGGUGCGUAGGCGGAAAGAUAAGUCAGCCUGUGAAAGUUUGCGGCUCAACCGUAAAAUUGCAGUUGAUACUGUUUUUCUUGAGUGUACAUAAGGUAGGCGGAAUUCGUGGUGUAGCGGUGAAAUGCUUAGAUAUCACGAAGAACUCCGAUUGCGAAGGCAGCUUACCGGGGUACAACUGACGCUGAUGCACGAAAGUGUUGGUAUCAAACA